rnacentral:tRNA from 1 species
GUGCCCGUAGCUCAGCGGUAGAGCAUCUGACUUUUAAUCAGAGGGUCGAAGGUUCGAACCCCUCCGGGCACA